AUACUCACUUCAGCAGCACAUAUACUAAAAUUGGAACGAUACAGAGAAAAUUAGCAUGGCGCUUGCACGAGAAUAACAUACAAAUUCAUGAAGUGUUCCAUGUUUUU
rnacentral:snRNA from 1 species